rnacentral:sRNA from 1 species
UUCUAGCCCAGAUGGGAGUGGCAUCCUGUGUGCCCGGAGUUCGGGCAGACAGAUAUAACGGACAGCUGGAAUUAGC